UUGGUGGCAUCCUCGAGCAGAAAGAAGCAAGCUGACUAACAUAUCUGCAAACUUCAUAAUUACCCCUCCUACUAGCAGAGACCAGAAAUUGUAUUUGUGGUUACUGAGUCAGUGCCGUGAAAGAAGUACUUUCAGUUUCAUUAGGCUCUGACGCCAUUACAAAGGUGGCUUACCUUCUAAUUAUUUGAUCACUGAGGAAAAUCCAGAAAGCUACACAACACUGGAGGGUGAAAUAAAAGUCCAGCGAUCCAGUGAAAGAAAAGAGAAGUGACAGAAACAACUUUAUCUGGAUUAAAGAGAAAAGAACAGGACACAGGAAAGAAGAUUGUGCCAUCUUACAAGAAAAAAUAAAGAUACAAAAAUUCCUAAUUCGGAUCAAUCUAUGUUCUCACAAAAAUCAGAAGAGGAAAAAGCAUCCAAUAUUCUGUCUGAUGCUAAACAAUCACCGUGAAUAUGAUACUAAUAUAGAUGGUCAACGUCAUCAAUUCCUGGUUUGGGUGACAUUGUGGAAAGCAAAGGUUGAGGAGGCAUCAUAUUGUUUUAAAGUCCAACUUCUUCGAAUAUUUGACACACUCACAUCGAAACAGGUUAGUUACUCAGAGAUGCAGCAGGUGAAGUAAAGGACAUUUCUUAUAUACUGGUGAGUAUCUAGCACCAAACUAAGGAUGUAGCCUUCCAUAUGUAUUUUGCUUGAAAGAAUGAAACUGGGAGUGGAGAAUUAAGGUAAGAGAUGGUGUUUUAUUAAAGGUUUUUUGAGAUAUAUUAAUAAAUUUGCUUUCAUUCCUUCAUGCCCACCCCCCAUAGGUGGAAUAAAGCUUUUUAAUAUUAACUAAAUUGAGAGGUGGAAAAUGGCAUACUGUUUUAAUAAGAAGUCUUUAAAUAUUACCGAAAUCAAAUAUAUUUGCAGCAUUGAAGCUGGGUUAGUGUUAUAAUGAAAAGUAUGUU